GGCCGUGUGGUGUAGUGGUAGCAUACUUGCUUUGGGAACUCCUCUCAUUGCUGUUGCAAGUGGUCCCAGGUUCGAGCCCUGGCUCGGCCC
rnacentral:tRNA from 1 species